AAAAAAAAGUUAUGUGAGGAUGCUUGUAAAGAGUUUCAAAGGAAGUAAAAUGGGUAGAAGCUAAACUGACAAAACUGGAGACAACCCAAAAAUCCACUAGUAGGCACUGGCUGAAUAAAGUGUGGCUCAUUUACAUAAUGGAAGAAUACACAGCUCUACCAUGAAAUAAGGAAAAACUACGUAAACUACUAUCAAAUCUUCAGGAUACAAAAUAAUCUGAAAAAACAAGCAAAGAAAAUGUAUA
rnacentral:lncRNA from 10 species